rnacentral:rRNA from 1 species
AGUUCUACAUAAACGAUGCCAGCCAGCGAUCCGCCGAUGUUCCUUUGAUGACUCGGCGGGCAGCUU